ACGGAGUUCAUAAAAAGAUCACGUUCACUUCUUGCUUUCUUUCUUCUGAGGAGGCCAAACGCUGGGAUGAAGCCCUGCUGCAUGAGCAGAUGCUUGAGAUAGUCGUCAUCCACUGGGACUUCGGCCACCAUGUUACUCGGCACGUAGCCCGAGAGGCCGCCCGAUUCUCCGUGGUAGAAGCCGUCGCAGUCUUUGUCCCCGAACACCUAGAUCAGGUGCAAAGACACUCGGCUGUUGCGGUUUGUUGUUGGCGACCGAUAAACAGGCGCAGCUGCUGACAUCUUCAGUUAAAUGGCGACCAUCUUCAAGCUCCUUUCUGACCGUCUCUUCAGGACGCGCCGUUUUGUGGGCAAUCUUAUUUACGUGCCUCCACUUCGACAGCGUCUUCUUCCCGUCAUCCUUAUUGUGCCGGUAGUUUUUAGCGUUUCCAUAGUGAGUCUAUUGACAGAUAUAAGUUAGAACUCUACGCUACUUUGUAUUAGAAAUGGCAACAGCGGAGGACAAAUGCCCCACAACAAGAGGAUAGAGAAAAAGAAGGAGCUUAUAAACCACGGCGCGGACUACAAUGGCGGAUGCGUGCAAAUUUUCGGGACUUAUGCAGAUCCCAAAUAGCAGAAGGAACAGCAGAUUUUUGAGCGCCGUGUGUAAUGUUCUAUAUUCACGAUUAAACAUCAACGUUUUGGGCUUGCUUGCUAACUUUUA